AUUGAACGCUGGCGGCAGGCCUAACACAUGCAAGUCGAACGGUAACAGGAAGCAGCUUGCUGCUUUGCUGACGAGUGGCGGACGGGUGAGUAAUGUCUGGGAAACUGCCUGAUGGAGGGGGAUAACUACUGGAAACGGUAGCUAAUACCGCAUAACGUCGCAAGACCAAAGAGGGGGACCUUCGGGCCUCUUGCCAUCGGAUGUGCCCAGAUGGGAUUAGCUAGUAGGUGGGGUAACGGCUCACCUAGGCGACGAUCCCUAGCUGGUCUGAGAGGAUGACCAGCCACACUGGAACUGAGACACGGUCCAGACUCCUACGGGAGGCAGCAGUGGGGAAUAUUGCACAAUGGGCGCAAGCCUGAUGCAGCCAUGCCGCGUGUAUGAAGAAGGCCUUCGGGUUGUAAAGUACUUUCAGCGGGGAGGAAGGGAGUAAAGUUAAUACCUUUGCUCAUUGACGUUACCCGCAGAAGAAGCACCGGCUAACUCCGUGCCAGCAGCCGCGGUAAUACGGAGGGUGCAAGCGUUAAUCGGAAUUACUGGGCGUAAAGCGCACGCAGGCGGUUUGUUAAGUCAGAUGUGAAAUCCCCGGGCUCAACCUGGGAACUGCAUCUGAUACUGGCAAGCUUGAGUCUCGUAGAGGGGGGUAGAAUUCCAGGUGUAGCGGUGAAAUGCGUAGAGAUCUGGAGGAAUACCGGUGGCGAAGGCGGCCCCCUGGACGAAGACUGACGCUCAGGUGCGAAAGCGUGGGGAGCACACAGGAUUAGAUACCCUGGUAGUCCACGCCGUAAACGAUGUCGACUUGGAGGUUGUGCCCUUGAGGCGUGGCUUCCGGAGCUAACGCGUUAAGUCGACCGCCUGGGGAGUACGGCCGCAAGGUUAAAACUCAAAUGAAUUGACGGGGGCCCGCACAAGCGGUGGAGCAUGUGGUUUAAUUCGAUGCAACGCGAAGAACCUUACCUGGUCUUGACAUCCACGGAAGUUUUCAGAGAUGAGAAUGUGCCUUCGGGAACCGUGAGACAGGUGCUGCAUGGCUGUCGUCAGCUCGUGUUGUGAAAUGUUGGGUUAAGUCCCGCAACGAGCGCAACCCUUAUCCUUUGUUGCCAGCGGUCCGGCCGGGAACUCAAAGGAGACUGCCAGUGAUAAACUGGAGGAAGGUGGGGAUGACGUCAAGUCAUCAUGGCCCUUACGACCAGGGCUACACACGUGCUACAAUGGCGCAUACAAAGAGAAGCGACCUCGCGAGAGCAAGCGGACCUCAUAAAGUGCGUCGUAGUCCGGAUUGGAGUCUGCAACUCGACUCCAUGAAGUCGGAAUCGCUAGUAAUCGUGGAUCAGAAUGCCACGGUGAAUACGUUCCCGGGCCUUGUACACACCGCCCGUCACACCAUGGGAGUGGGUUGCAAAAGAAGUAGGUAGCUUAACCUUCGGGAGGGCGCUUACCACUUUGUGAUUCAUGACUGGGGUGAAGUCGUAACAAGGUA
rnacentral:rRNA from 1 species